AUUCAAGUAAUCUGGAUGAAGAUAUUCCAGCCUUUUAUCUGGUCAAAAUAGUAGUACAGGAUUAGGUGGAGACAGCUUUUUGAACUUCAAAAUCUCACCAACCUUUGUCAUAAUUAUGCACUCACAUGUGAGCUGGUGGUUGAAUAGUUAUGUAUCAUAAUUUUGAAUGGAAAAUGUGUAAAUUUUGAAAUUUAAAGGCUUCCAUUUGGUCCCACACACACCUCAUAUGUAUGAGACAAAUUUUGUAUCUAUAUAAGCAACAUAUGAGUGAAAAAAUGAAUUAGUGUGCUGUCUAGUUUUAUGUGGCCUACUUUAACAUCUUCACUUCAUCUUCUUCUUCUUCCUUCAAAACAAAAUCCCUAACAAUCCUAAAUAUCACCAUACAAAAAAGAAACACAAAAAUCACCUAAACAUCAAAUUAAAAAUCAGAUUAAAGGUUAUGCAUAAGACUAACACCUUGUGUACAACAUUCUUGGCAAAGUGAACCCAAAACCACACCAAACUCCAACAUGGGACCACCUUGCAAGGAUAAAUACUCCUAGGUGACCGAUAGUGAAGUAGUACAUGAAAUUGUAACCUCCCAAGCAGUGGGAGGAGACUGGGGCUCUGACCGCUUGCCUAUUGAAGAAUGAGAUGGUGACUUAUAAGCAAUGGCUUGUUUAAGGGAACCCACUAGAGCCAUAGCAAAAGCAAGUCUUCAUUAGGCAAUUGUCACUACAUAUGGACCUGAACCUGGGUGAUCUAUCCACGACUAAGAUGAAGCUUAGGUGAAACUAAGUGGAGGUUCGAAUCGACUGAUGUUGAAGAAUCAGCGGAUGAGUUGUGGUUAGGGGUGUAAUGCCACUCAAACCCAGAGCUAGCUGGUUCUUCCCAAAUUGUUUUGAGGUGCAGUAGUUGACAGGACAUCUAAGGGUAAAGUACUGUUUCGAUACGGGCCACGAAAGCAGUACUAAAUCGAGGUAAAAUCUGAACAGUAGAUAUGACCUUAAAAUAACAGGGGUCAAGGUCGACCAGUGGGACAAUGGGGGAUAAGCUUCAUCGUUGAGAGGGAAACAGUCCAGAUCACCUGCUAAGGCCCCUAAAUGACCGUUAAUGAUAAAAGAGGUAAGGCUGCAGAGACAGUCAGGAGGUUUACCUAGAAGCAACCACCCUUGAAAAAAUGCAUAAUAGCUCAUUGAUCGAGUGCUCUUGCACCGAAGAUGAACGAGGCUAAGCGAUCUGCUAAGGUGUGGGACGUAAAAAUGCAUAAGUAGGGGAGCAUUCCACUUAGAGGGAAGCACCGGUACGAGCAGUGGUAGACAAAGUCGGAGCGAGAAUGUUGGCUUUAGUAAUGAAAACAUUUGUGAGAAUAAAAUGCCCCAAAAACCAAAGGGUUCCUCCACAAGGUUCGUCCACGGAGGGUGAGUCAGGGCCGAAGAUCAGGCCGAAAAGCAUAGUCGAUGGAUAAUAUGUGAAUAUUCCUAUCCUACCCCUUGUUGGUCCUAAAGGACAGACGAGGCUAGGUUUACCGAAAGAUUGUUAUCGUUUCAAGGACACAAGGUACCUCGACUUUUUCAGGGUAAAAAGGGGUAAAGAAAAUGCCCCAAGCCAAUGUUUGAGUACCAAACGCUAUGGUGUUGAAGUAACCCACGCCAUACUCCUAGGAAAAGCUCAAACGACCUUCAACAAAAGGGUACCUAUACCCCAAAUUGAUAUAGGUGGGUAGGUUGAGAAUACCUAGGGGCGCGAGACAACUCUCUUUCAGGCACUCGGCAAAAUAGCCCCAUAAAUUCGGGAGAAGGGGUGCCUCCUCACUAAGGGGGUUGUAGUGACCAGGCCAGGGUGACUGUUUACCAAAAACACAUGUCUCUGCAAAGUCGUAAGACCAUGUAUGGGGGUUGACACCUGCCCAAUGCUGAAGGUCAAGGAAGUUGGUGACCUGAUGACAGGGGAGCUGACUACCGAAGCCCCGAUGAACGGUGGCAUAACUAUGACGGUCCUAAGGCAAUGAAAUUCCUUGUUUGAUAAGUUUCGACCUGCAUGAAAGUUGUAACGAUCUAAGCUUGGUGAAAUAGACAUGUCUAUGAAGAUACGGACUACCUGUACCUGAAUAGAAAGAUCCUAUGAAGCUUCACUAUUCCCUGGGAUUGGCUUUGGGCUUUUCCUGCACAGCAUAGGUGGAGGGCGAAUAAGGCCUCCUUCCGGGGGGGCCUGAGCCAUCAAUGAGAUACCGCUCUAGAAGAGCUAGAAUUCUAACCUUAUGUCAGGACCUACGGGCCAAGGGACAAUCUCAGGUAGACAGUUUCUAUGGGGUACAGGCCUCCCAAAAGGUAGCAGAGGCAUGGAAAGGUUUCCUCGGGCCACACGGAGAUUGGCCGUCUAGUGUAAAAGUAGAAGGGAGAUUGACUGCAAGAUCCACCCAUCGACUAGGGAUGAAAGUCGGCCUUAGUGAUCCAACGGUGCCAAGUGGAAAGGCCAUCGCUCAAUGGAUAAAAGUUACUUAAGGACAGGCUAAUCUUCCUUAAGUUCUCACAUUGACGGGAAGGUUUGGCACCUCCAUGUCGGCUCUUCACCACUUAAGGCUGUAGUAUGUUCCAAGGGUUGGGCUGUUAGCCCAUUAAAGUGGUACAUGAGCUGGGUUUAGAAUGUUAUGAGGCAGUUCUAUCAAUAUCUGGUGUGGGCAUUAGAGCAUUGAGAGGACUUUUCCCUAGUACGAGAGGACCAGGAGGGACACACCUCUGGUGUACUAGUUAUCGUGCCUACAGUAAAUGUUGGGUAGCCAAGUGCAGAGUGGAUAACUACGGAAAGCAUCUAAGUAGUAAGCCCACCCCAAGAGGAGUACUCUCCUAUUCUAACUUCCCUGGACCUUCCGAUAGCAUAGCCAAGACAGCAAAAGGUUUUCUGUCCCUAUGAGGGUGGAACGUUAGAAGUUUUGAGAAUUCAAAAGAAGGUCACGGCGAGACGAGCCGUUUAUCAUUACAAUAGGUGUUAAGUGGAAGUGCAAUCAUUUCUGACCACAUUCUCCAUAGGGCCCUCUUAUCUCU
rnacentral:rRNA from 1 species